CACCUGUUAAGGCGCAGCAUCACAUGAUACAAAUCAGUUACUCGCUUCUAGAAAAUUCGCCCGUUGAGCAGGUGAAGAAAAAGUCCUCGUCUGGGUCACAGCCGGCAGAAAACUACAUUCAACUCAAAUAUAUGUGACGUCAGCCUGACAGCAACUCCCCCUCCCACCACCAUCCCACGUCUCGCGCUUUCACUGAGGGGAGAGCUCGCGCGCGCUCGGCGCUUCUGCACCCUCAGGGUUUUAACGUCAUGUUUCACACACUUUGGUUACAUUCAUGACAGCACAGGAAGAAAUCGGAGCUCCCGGAGGAAACCCACGCAGACAUGGGGAGAACAUGCAAACUCCAUACAGAAAGGACCCGGAUCGCCCCACCUGGGGAUCGAACCCAGGACCUUCUUGCUGUGAGGCGACAGUGCUACCCACUGAGCCACAUUUCAUGGCAGUCAUUAAAUUACACUCAU